rnacentral:rRNA from 1 species
UAGUCAUACGCUCGUCUCAAAGAUUAAGCCAUGCAUGUGUAAGUAUAAAUAAUUCUACUUUGAAACUGCGAAUGGCUCAUUAUAUCAGUUAUAGUUUAUUAGAAAUAGUGUACUACUUGGAUAACCGUAGUAAUUCUAGGGCUAAUACAUGAGUAAAUCCUCGACUUUUGAAGAGGUGUGUUUAUUAGUAUGAAAACCAUAUGCUUUUGCAUGAUAGUGAGUAAUAAUAACCUUUCAUAUCGCCUGUUUUAAAUAGCGAUAGUUCUUUCAAGUUUCUGCCCUAUCAGCUUUCGAUGGUAGUGUAUUGGACUACCAUGGCAGUAACGGGUAACGAAGAAUUUGGGUUCGAUUUCGGAGAGGGAGCCUGAGAGAUGGCUACCACAUCCAAGGAAGGCAGCAGGCGCGUAAAUUACCCAAUCCUGACAUAGGGAGGUAGUGACAAUAAAUCACAAUGCGGGACUAUUUAGUUUUGCAAUUGAAUUGAGAACAAUGUACAAGAGUUAUCGAUAAACAAUU